GUCUACGUCCAUGAUACCCUAAACAAGCUAAGCAGGGUCGGGCCUGGUUAGUUCUUGGAUGGGAGACCACCUAGAAAGACCAGGUGCCGUAGGCA
rnacentral:rRNA from 1 species